rnacentral:rRNA from 1 species
GAUGAACGCUGGCGGCGUGCCUAACACAUGCAAGUCGAGCGCAGCGGGGACGGGGGAGUAACACGUGGAUAACCUCCUAUAAGUCUGGGAUAACUUCGGGAAACCGGUGCUAAACCGGCUACUUAGAGAUGGAUGCGCGGUGCAUUCGCUAGUUGGUAAGGUAACGGCUUACCAAGGCCACGACGCAUAGCCGACCUGUGAGGGGGACCGGCCACACUGGAACUGAGACACGGUCCAGACUCCUACGGGAGGCAGCAGUGGGGAAUCUUCCGCAAUGGGCGAAAGCCUGACGGAGCAACGCCGCGUGAGUGAUGAAGGUCUUCGGAUCGUAAAGCUCUGUUAUUAGGGAAGCGGUACCUGAUCAGAAAGCCACGGCUAACUACGUGCCAGCAGCCGCGGUAAUUC